rnacentral:rRNA from 1 species
CUAUCGCUUACAGAUGGGCCCGCGGUGCAUUAGCUAGUUGGUAGGGUAAUGGCCUACCAAGGCAACGAUGCAUAGCCGACCUGAGAGGGUGAUCGGCCACACUGGGACUGAGACACGGCCCAGACUCCUACGGGAGGCAGCAGUAGGGAAUCUUCCGCAAUGGACGAAAGUCUGACGGAGCAACGCCGCGUGUAUGAAGAAGGUUUUCGGAUCGUAAAGUACUGUUGUUAGAGAAGAACAAGGAUAAGAGUAACUGCUUGUCCCUUGACGGUAUCUAACCAGAAAGCCACGGCUAACUACGUGCCAGCAGCCGCGGUAAUACGUAGGUGGCAAGCGUUGUCCGGAUUUAUUGGGCGUAAAGCGCGCGCAGGCGGUCUUUUAAGUCUGAUGUGAAAGCCCCCGGCUUAACCGGGGAGGGUCAUUGGAAACUGG